CCCUUAGAUGUUCUGGGCCGCACGCGCGCUACACUGAUGAACGCAACGAGACGACCUGUACCGAAAGGCAUGGGUAAACUUGUGAAAGUUCAUCGUGAUGGGGAUAGAUUAUUGCAAUUAUUAAUCUUCAACGAGGAAUUCCUAGUAAGCGCGAGUCAUCAGCUCGCGUUGAUUACGUCCCUGCCCUUUGUACACACCGCCCGUCGCUACUACCGAUUGAACGGUUUAGUGAGGGCCUCGGAUUGGUCUCGGCCCGCUCUUUACCGGGCGGCGCCGUUGGUCGAGAAGACGCUCGAACUUGAUCGUUUAGAGGAAGUAAAAGUCGUAACA
rnacentral:rRNA from 1 species